AGCAGGAUGGCGCAGUGGUAGCGCGCAUGGGUUAGUAACCCCUGAGGUCCGUAGAUCGAAACUACGUCCUGCUA